rnacentral:rRNA from 1 species
CUGAAUAACUCUGCUAAUCGCACAGUCAGAGUACUGGCGAUGAAUCUUUCAAGUGUCUGCCUUAUCAACUUUCGAUGGUAGUUUACAUGCCUACCAUGGUUAUAACGGGUAACGGAGAAUAAGGGUUCGACUCCGGAGAGGGAGCCUGAGAAAUGGCUACCACAUCCAAGGAAGGCAGCAGGCGCGCAAAUUACCCACUCUCGGCACGAGGAGGUAGUGACGAAAAAUAACGAGAUGUUUCUCUGUGAGAUUCAUCAUCGGAAUGGGUACAACCCAAAUCCUUUAACGAGGAACGAUUGGAGGGCAAGUCUGGUGCCAGCAGCCGCGGUAAUUCCAGCUCCAAUAGCGUAUAUUAAAGUUGUUGCGGUUAAAAAG